rnacentral:rRNA from 1 species
AUGAGAGGUAAUGCUAAUGGCCUGAAAAAACUGAUUAUGGAUGAGUCCCCUUCUACCUACUAUGUUCAUUGUUUUGCCCAUCAACUACAGUUAACUCUUGUUGUUGUUGCUAAGGAGAGUGGUGAUUGUACUUGGUUCUUUCAGCAGCUUGCACACUUGUUAAAUGCUCUUGGCAUGUCUUGUAAAAAGAUGAGAAUGCUUCGGAUAGCUCAGGCUGAAGAACUCAUUAAUGCAUUGGAAUUGGAAGAAGUAGAAACAAGGAGUGGGCUGAAUCAGGAAAUGGGUUUGGGAAGGCCAUGUGAUACACGUUGGGGCUCUUACUUCAAAACUGUGAACCAUGUCAUCUCUAUGUAUGGUGCACUACGACGAGUCCUUCGCAAGAUUGGAGACAAGUACCAUGGUGCGGAGGCACAAGCGGCUCUAUCCAUAGAGACAAUAUUUCGAUCAUUUGAGUUUGUUUUCAUGGCACACUUGAUGCAAGAAAUAUUUGGAUACACAGAUGAGUUGUGUAGAGCUUUGCAAAAGCAAGAUUAAGAUAUUGUUCAUGCUAUUGAGCUUUUUGGUGACACAAAGUAUUACUUGGAGGCUUUGAGGACCGAUGCUGGAUGGGAUGAUUUUCUCACAAAGGUCACAUCUUUUUGUACAAAGCAUAAGAUCAAAGUUGUUGAUAUGGAGGGUCCUUACUUUCCCGUUGGCCGGCCUAGAAGGGGUUUAUGUAAUGGUGUGAUCAAUUACCACCGCUUCAAGGUUGAUAUGUUUGUGGGUGUCAUUGAUAGGCAAAUCAGUGAGCUGAAUGGCAGAUUUGAUGAGGUAAACACGGAGCUACUUUCUUGCAUGGCAGCAUUCUGUCCACUUCAUCUAUUUGCUGCUUAUGACCAAGAUAAGUUGAUUAGGCUUGCUACAAAGCUUUAUACUUCUGAUUUUACAAGUGAUGAACUGGCAAGACUUCCAUGA